rnacentral:rRNA from 1 species
GACGUAGGUGGCGAACGUUAUCCGGAAUUAUUGGGCGUAAAGGAUGCGUAGAUGGUGUAGUAAGUUAUCGGUGGCAAAUCGAGGCUCAACCUCGUGGAAGUCGGUAAUACUGCUAUGCUAGAGGAUAGGAGAGGUUAACGGAACUCCCGGUGGAGCGGUGAAAUGCGUAGAUAUAGGGAAGAACACCAAUCAGGCGAAGGCAGUUAACUAUUCUAUUCCUGACAUUGAGGCAUGAAAGCGUGGGGAGCAAAACGG